UACAGAGGGUGCAAGCGUUGUUCGGAAUUAUUGGGCGUAAAGAGCUCGUAGGCGGUCUGUUGCGUCCGCUGUGAAAACUCGGGGCUUAACCCCGAGCCUGCAGUGGAUACGGGCAGACUAGAGGUAGGUAGGGGAGAAUGGAAUUCCCGGUGUAGCGGUGAAAUGCGCAGAUAUCGGGAGGAACACCAAUUGCGAAGGCAGCUCGCUGGGACGUUAUGACGCUGAGAAGCGAAAGCAUGGGGAGCGAACAGG
rnacentral:rRNA from 1 species